rnacentral:rRNA from 1 species
GGACCCGCACAAGUAGUGGAGCAUGUGGUUUAAUUCGAAGAUACGCGCAGAACCUUACCAACACUUGACAUGUUCGUCGCGACUUUGAGAGAUCAAAGUUUUCGGUUCGGCCGGACGAAACACAGGUGCUGCAUGGCUGUCGUCAGCUCGUGUCGUGAGAUGUUGGGUUAAGUCCCGCAACGAGCGCAACCCUCACUUUUAGUUGCCAUCAUUAAGUUGGGCACUCUGAAAGAACUGCCAGUGAUAAGCUGGAGGAAGGUGGGGAUGACGUCAAGUCCUCAUGGCCCUUACGUGUUGGGCUACACACGUGCUACAAUGGUAUCUACAACAGGAAGCAAAACGGCGACGUUAAGCAAAUCCUUAAAAGAUACCUCAGUUCGGAUUGCACUCUGCAACUCGAGUGCAUGAAGCUGGAAUUACUAG